AGAAGAAAAAGAAGAAGAAGCCAGACCAGGAAAGUGAAAGGAAAUGGAUAUCGCUGCUGGAGGCAACGACUAAUUUAAGCAGAGUAGGAGAAAAACUCUUUUUUUUUUUCCUUUGUGCCAGUUCCUUUUACACGACUUCAGAACAUUCUAUGACAACCCAGCGUGCAACUUGGCACUGUCAGAAGAGUCCUGGGAAAGAAAGGAAAUGCGAAAAUGAGAAAACCAAUAUUGGACUGUACUGGACAGGACAUAUGUACUAUAUCAGAUUCUCCCUGGCCACAUGCAUAGAGUCUCUGUCUUUUCCCACCACUUUAAAGACAUUGAUAAAAUGCCAUACCACAGGGCAUGAGAUCUGGCAUCCCAAGUUGCCACCAGCAAACCUAGAAGUGUGGGUUCCAACUCUAUGGGUAUAUCUCAGUCAUUUAGCAUCUGCUCUAUCUUUGAGGCUGAGUUUCCAGAAGACCUGAUUCAACCAGAAGCAAAAGACAGUAGCCAAGAAGAUGGCAUAGCAUAAGAAUCUUGGAAAUUGAUAAAAACAUCCCAGAGAUAUCCAACAAAAUUAGUAACUAUGUGAAGAGAUUCUGUAAUAUUGGGUCUAUUGGGCUCUGUGGGAAGGUAUUCCCUUUGGAAAUGACUGAAAUGGAAAUUUUGAACCACUUUCAAUGAUACAAGUUUGGGGUUAACAUGGAGAUGGUGCUUCACAGAAGACACCACAUUUCAAUAAUUGUAUUCUUAUCGAAUUGUUUAAAAUUGGUCAGUGACUAAUAUUAAGCCUCUAAGAACAAAAUUCAUUAGGUUUAUUUAGCCUGUUUUUGCAUUACUGCUACAAAAUCCAAUAGUUUAAAUAGCUAACUGAAUACUUUUGAUGUUAAAGAGCAAAAUUUCAUGAAGAUUUUAGAUCAAGAGAGCUACCACUGAGAAAAAACAAUGCAGAUUUGUGGUAAAGUCCCAUGAAUUUGUUGAACUGCCAAGGCUUCUGAUCAUCACUGCUGAAGAACUUCUAAUGGUGACUUCCAUCUCAGCUUUCUCAUUGCCAACUAUUAAGAAUGUAUGGAUUAUCCAGAUGUUGCAACACAGUUGUGUUUUUGGCUUCACCACUCCCUCUGGGCUGUGAUUCUGUUUUUUUUUUCUUUUAUUGUUGAUGUUCUUUGUUUUUAAUAUGAGAAAGAUUUGUGUAUUAUACUUCAGUUUUAGUUUCCUUAAUCACAGACUAGACAAAAGAAAAUUGGCUUGGUUUCCUAUUAGGAAACCACUUAGAAGCCAUUAUCAGAAUCGUAGACCAUCACUGUGAACUAUAUCCAGGUGUUGUCAUGAAAGUAUGACAUCCUAGAGUGGAAAAGCAACCUGGGUUUCCGAGACUGUUUUACUCUUUUAUCUGGAAUGUUGUUUUAGCUGCUAUGGCUCCAACAGGGUGAACAUAGCAUUUUAUUUAAUCUAAAUAUCUUUCUGCUUUUUUUUUCUAAGUUGCAAAAAGUCAAUGACCACAUUUCAUCUCUAGCCUCUCGUGAGGUUUAAAUUACACAAGGAAGAAAUAUUUACAAUGUCAAAUGCUGAAGAUUGUUUGGAGUCAGAAGUGAUUGUUCAGAAUCUGUCUUAAUGACAAGUCAGAAAUUAGACAAAGAGAUGAAAUGCUAAGCCCCCAAUGUGUUCUGAAAAGUUAAAUAACCAUCUUACAUCAGUUGGUACGUUUUUGUAAGAGUCCAGGAUGUAAAAGUGAUAAAUAAAUUAAUGAAAAGCACUUUUAAAAAUCAACAAAAGACAUGGCAGGAAAUGGAAGAAAAGAGAAGCAAGGGAUGCAUUCUAAUAGAUAUUAAGAACAAGCCAAAGUGCAGUAUUUGCUCUAGGGUUUUACUGUUCAUUGUGUCAAGACUCACAGAUUUUAGAUAUUUUUUUUAAUUGGGAAAGUAAAUGAGGCAGGUAGAUAAGUAGAAAAAGUUGUGUGAAACUCAUCAGUACUGAAAAUAAAUAGUUGUACUUCUCUGUG
rnacentral:lncRNA from 10 species